CCUACGGGAGGCAGCAGUGGGGAAUAUUGCGCAAUGGGCGAAAGCCUGACGCAGCGACGCCGCAUGAGGGAUGAAGGUCUUCGGAUCGUAAACCUCUGUCAGCAGGGAAGAACGGUCACUGUGCUAAUCAGCAGUGAAUUGACGGUACCUGCAAAGGAAGCACCGGCUAACUCCGUGCCAGCAGCCGCGGUAAUACGGAGGGUGCGAGCGUUAAUCGGAAUUACUGGGCGUAAAGCGCUCGUAGGCGGGAUGUCAAGUCAAGGGGGAAAUCCCCGCGCUAAACGUGGGAACUGCCUUUGAAACUGGCAAACUGGAGUGUGUGAGAGGAUAGUGGAAUUCGAGGUGUAGGAGUGAAAUCCGUAGAUAUCUGGAGGAACAUCAGUGGCGAAGGCGACUAUCUGGCACAUAACUGACGCUGAGGAGCGAAAGCGUGGGUAGCAAACAGGAUUAGAUACCCCUGUAGUC
rnacentral:rRNA from 1 species